CCUACGGGGGGCAGCAGUGGGGGAUAUUGCACAAUGGGGGAAACCCUGAUGCAGCGACGCCGCGUGGGUGAAGAAGUAUUUCGGUAUGUAAAGCCCUAUCAGCAGGGAAGAAAGACGACGGUACCUGACUAAGACGCCCCGGCUAACUACGUGCCAGCAGCCGCGGUAAUACGUAGGGGGCGAGCGUUAUCCGGAUUCACUGGGUGUAAAGGGAGCGUAGACGGCCGUGCAAGCCAGGAGUGAAAGCCCGGGGCCCAACCCCGGGACUGCUCUUGGAACUGUGCGGCUGGAGUGCGGGAGGGGCAGGCGGAAUUCCUGGUGUAGCGGUGAAAUGCGUAGAUAUCAGGAGGAACACCGGCGGCGAAGGCGGCCUGCUGGACCGCGACUGACGUUGAGGCUCGAAAGCGUGGGGAGCGAACAGGAUUAGAUACCCGUGUAGUC
rnacentral:rRNA from 1 species